CGGGGCGUAGCGCAGUCUGGUAGCGCAUCUGCUUUGGGAGCAGAGGGUCGUGAGUUCGAAUCCCACCGCCCCGA
rfam:Dechloromonas denitrificans strain ATCC BAA-841 contig005, whole genome shotgun sequence.